UCUUGUGAUAUUCAUUGAAAUGCUUCCAAGCUCUCCUCGUGUUGUAUUUUGCUUCCACGCUUUUUAAGAUCUCUGAUUUUAUGUUAUGGAACCUAAAAUAUUUUUGAAAUUGUAUUUUUGAGAAUAUUCAUGUUGGCACUCUGCAAAAUGACCUCAACACCACCUGAUACCUAGACUCCAAAUUGGAAGUCAUUGAGAUAUCACACAACAUCCUUAUUGACCCUUUUCAUUACAACCUUGGAUACCAACCUCCUCCAACUUGAACUCCCAACAAU
rnacentral:lncRNA from 1 species